CCUCGGGAGGCAGAAGUGGGGAAGAGUGGGCAAAGGGCGGAAGCCGGACCCAGCAAGGACGAGGGAAGGAAGAAGGAUUUCGGGUUGUAAACGUCUUUGACAGGGGAAGAGCAGAAGACGGGACCCUGAAAACAAGCCACGGCUAACUACGUGCCAGCAGCCGCGGUAAUACGUAGGUGGCAAGCGUGGUCCGGAUUUACUGGGGGUAAAGGGCGUGGAGCCGGGAAGGCAAGUCAGAGGUGAAAGUUUGCGGCGCAACCGGAAAAUUGCAAUUGAUACUGGCAGUCUUGAGUACAGUAGAGGUAGGCGGACUUCGUGGUGUAGCGGUGACAUGCUUAUAUAUCACG
rnacentral:rRNA from 1 species